rnacentral:rRNA from 1 species
UGCGGAGGGGGCUAGCGUUGUUCGGAAUUACUGGGCGUAAAGCGCGCGUAGGCGGCUUAGCAAGUUAGAGGUGAAAGCCCGGAGCUUAACUCCGGAAUUGCCUUUAAAACUGCAAAGCUAGAAUCAUGGAGAGGUGAGUGGAAUUCCGAGUGUAGAGGUGAAAUUCGUAGAUAUUCGGAAGAACACCAGUGGCGAAGGCGACUCACUGGACAUGUAUUGACGCUGAGGUGCGAAAGCGUGGGGAGCAAACAGG